UCAGGAUGAACGCUGGCGGCGUGCUUAACACAUGCAAGUCGAACGAUGAAGCCCAGCUUGCUGGGUGGAUUAGUGGCGAACGGGUGAGUAACACGUGAGUAACCUGCCCUUAACUCUGGGAUAAGCCUGGGAAACUGGGUCUAAUACCGGAUAGGAGCGUCCACCGCAUGGUGGGUGUUGGAAAGAUUUAUCGGUUUUGGAUGGACUCGCGGCCUAUCAGCUUGUUGGUGAGGUAAUGGCUCACCAAGGCGACGACGGGUAGCCGGCCUGAGAGGGUGACCGGCCACACUGGGACUGAGACACGGCCCAGACUCCUACGGGAGGCAGCAGUGGGGAAUAUUGCACAAUGGGCGCAAGCCUGAUGCAGCGACGCCGCGUGAGGGAUGACGGCCUUCGGGUUGUAAACCUCUUUCAGUAGGGAAGAAGCGAAAGUGACGGUACCUGCAGAAGAAGCACCGGCUAACUACGUGCCAGCAGCCGCGGUAAUACGUAGGGUGCGAGCGUUAUCCGGAAUUAUUGGGCGUAAAGAGCUCGUAGGCGGUUUGUCGCGUCUGUCGUGAAAGUCCGGGGCUUAACCCCGGAUCUGCGGUGGGUACGGGCAGACUAGAGUGCAGUAGGGGAGACUGGAAUUCCUGGUGUAGCGGUGGAAUGCGCAGAUAUCAGGAGGAACACCGAUGGCGAAGGCAGGUCUCUGGGCUGUAACUGACGCUGAGGAGCGAAAGCAUGGGGAGCGAACAGGAUUAGAUACCCUGGUAGUCCAUGCCGUAAACGUUGGGCACUAGGUGUGGGGACCAUUCCACGGUUUCCGCGCCGCAGCUAACGCAUUAAGUGCCCCG
rnacentral:rRNA from 1 species